rnacentral:rRNA from 1 species
CCUACGGGAGGCAGCAGUGAGGAAUAUUGGUCAAUGGCCGGAAGGCUGAACCAGCCAUGCCGCGUGAAGGUCAGUGCACUAUGGGCGUUAAACUUCUUUUGUGCGGGAGCAAUAAUGGUCACGUGUGGCCAGACGCGAGUACCGUACGAAUAAGCAUCGGCUAGCUCAGUGCCAGCAGCCGAGGUAAUACUGGGGAUGCAAGCGUUAUCCGGAUUUAUUGGGUGUAAAGGGUGCGGAAGCGGGGAGGUAAGUCAGCGGGGAAAUGCCCCCGCUCAACGGGGUGAAGUGCCAUUGAUACUGCCGUGCUGGAAUGCAGAUGCGGUAGGAGGAAUGUGUGGUGUAGCGGUGAAAUGCAUAGAUAUCAGGAGGAACACCGGUGGCGAAGGCGGCCUGCUGGACUGCAACUGACGUUGAGGCCCGAAAGCGUGGGGAGCAAACAGGAUUAGAUACCCGUGUAGUC